GGCAACAGCUCAAAUUUGAAAUCUGGCUCUUUCAGGGUCCGAGUUGUAAUUUGCAGAGGGCGCUUUGGCGUUGGCAGCGGUCCAAGUUCUUUGGAACAGGACGUCACAGAGGGUGAGAAUCCCGUACGUGGUCGCUAGCCUUCGCCGUGUAAAGCCCCUUCGACGAGUCGAGUUGUUUGGGAAUGCAGCUCUAAAUGGGAGGUAAAUUUCUUCUAAAGCUAAAUACUGGCCAGAGACCGAUAGCGCACAAGUAGAGUGAUCGAAAGAUGAAAAGCACUUUGGAAAGAGAGUCAAAUAGCACGUGAAAUUGUUGAAAGGGAAGCGCUUGCAGCCAGACUUGCCUGUAGUUGCUUAUCUGGACUUUUGUCCGGUGCACUCUUCUGCGGGCAGGCCAGCAUCAGUUUGGGCGGUUGGAUAAAGGUCUCUGUCAUGUACCUCCUUUCGGGGAGGCCUUAUAGGGGAGACGACAUGCAACCAGCCUGGACUGAGGUCCGCGCAUCUGCUAGGAUGCUGGCGUAAUGGCUGUAAGCGGCCCGUCUUGAAACACGGACCAAGGAGUCUAACAUCUAUGCGAGUGUUUGGGUGUCAAGCCCAGACGCGUAAUGAAAGUGAACGGAGGUGGGAACCCUUUGGGUGCACCAUCGACCGAUCCUGAUGUCUUCGGAUGGAUUUGAGUAAGAGCAUGGCUGUUGGGACCCGAAAGAUGGUGAACUAUGCUUGAAUAGGGUGAAGCCAGAGGAAACUCUGGUGGAGGCUCGCAGCGGUUCUGACGUGCAAAUCGAUCGUCAAAUUU
rnacentral:rRNA from 1 species